GGCAAGUCGUUGACGCUCGUGUAAAGCGGUCUGUAAAUCCGUCGGCGUACGCCUACCAAGGUUCGAAUCCUUGACCCGCCA
rnacentral:tRNA from 1 species